CCUAAUUCUACACUUCUUGCACUUUCAGAAAAGAACCAGCCGUCACUCCCCAUACCCCUCACAGAACACUCUGCUAGGGUUUACCCCUGACCCUGAACCAGUGAGCCCAGUUGCGUUCCUAGCCUCAUCACUUCAAUCUGCCGUUGGAGCUUCGCGUUCCGCUGUUGGAGACGCACCCGCUUUUAGCCUUUUCCAGAUGGGCGAGGUUCUCAUGGUAAACAAGCGAAUGGUGAUUCCGCAGCUUAGCCAUCUGGGCUGGAGUUUUCUUCGUAUUCUAUUUAGGGCUAUGGCCCAUGUAUCUUUUUCUGUAUUGCUACGCUACACUCUAUGUUGUAUUCGCUUUCAGCUUACCUUUGGCAUCGUGGUGUGCCCGUGUUUUGUCAGGGUUGUGUUAAAGACCCCAGGACCACGCUACUGUACUUAUAUUGUGUGACGUUUUCCUUUAAUUUCACUUAAUAAUUAAA